AGUUGAUCCUGGCUUAGGAUGAACGCUAGCGGCAGGCUUAACACAUGCAAGUCGAGGGGCAUCGGGAGUAGCAAUACUGCCGGCGACCGGCGCAAGGGUGCGUAACGCGUGAGCAACAUGCCCGUAUCAGGGGGAUAAUCCAUGGAAACGUGGUCUAAUACCCCAUAGUAAUUAUGUAAGGCAUCUUAUAUAAUUUAAAGCUUUGGUGGAUACGGAUUGGCUCGCGUGACAUUAGCUGGAUGGUAAGGUAACGGCUUACCAUGGCUACGAUGUCUAGGGGUUCUGAGAGGAAGGUCCCCCACACUGGAACUGAGACGCGGUCCAGACUCCUACGGGAGGCAGCAGUGAGGAAUAUUGGACAAUGGAUGGAAAUCUGAUCCAGCCAUGCCGCGUGCAGGAAGACGGCCCUAUGGGUUGUAAACUGCUUUUGUAUGGGAGCAAUAAGGGCUACGUGUAGUCCGAUGAGAGUACCAUACGAAUAAGCACCGGCUAACUCCGUGCCAGCCGCAGC
rnacentral:rRNA from 1 species